CAGCGCGGUAAUUCCAGCUCCAAUAGCGUAUAUUAAAGUUGUUGCAGUUAAAAAGCUCGUAGUUGAAUUUCGGGAUUGGCGCAUCGGUCGUGCCUCACGGGGUAUGAACUGGUGCAGUCAAUUUCUCACCUUCUGGAGAACCGCGAUGUCCUUAAUUGGAUGCCGCGGGGAACCAGGACCUUUACUUUGAAAAAAUUAGAGUGUUUAAAGCAGGCAUUUUUGCUUGAAUACAUUAGCAUGGAAUAAUAAAAUAGGACGGCAUGGUUCUAUUUUGUUGGUUUCUAGGACCACCGUAAUGAUUAAUAGGGAUAGUUGGGGGCAUUAGUAUUCAAUUGUCAGAGGUGAAAUUCUUGGAUUUAUUGAAGACUAACUACUGCGAAAGCAUUUGCCAAGGAUGUUUUCAUUAAUCAAGAACGAAAGUUAGGGGAUCGAAGACGAUCAGAUACCGUCGUAGUCUUAACCAUAAACUAUGCCGACUAGGAAUCAGACGAUGUUAAUUUUUUAAUGACUCGUUUGGCACCUUACG
rnacentral:misc_RNA from 1 species